rnacentral:tRNA from 1 species
GGCGCGUUGACGGAACGGUUACGUGGAGGUCUGCAAAACCUUUUAAAUGGGUUCGACUCCCAUACGUGCCUCCA